rnacentral:tRNA from 1 species
AACUGGAUAGCCUAGUGGUAAAGGCAUUACUCCUAGUGUCAGCCUUGGUUGCUGAGGUCCCAGGUUUGAUUCCUGGUCUGGUCA